AUUGAACGCUGGCGGCAUGCCUUACACAUGCAAGUCGAACGGCAGCACGGGAGCAAUCCUGGUGGCGAGUGGCGAACGGGUGAGUAAAGUAUCGGAACGUGCCCAGUCGUGGGGGAUAACGUAGCGAAAGUUACGCUAAUACCGCAUACGAUCUAUGGAUGAAAGCGGGGGAUCGCAAGACCUCGCGCGAUUGGAGCGGCCGAUAUCAGAUUAGGUAGUUGGUGGGGUAAAGGCUCACCAAGCCGACGAUCUGUAGCUGGUCUGAGAGGACGACCAGCCACACUGGGACUGAGACACGGCCCAGACUCCUACGGGAGGCAGCAGUGGGGAAUUUUGGACAAUGGGCGCAAGCCUGAUCCAGCCAUGCCGCGUGCAGGAUGAAGGCCUUCGGGUUGUAAACUGCUUUUGUACGGAACGAAAAGGUUUGGCCUAAUACGCUGAACUCAUGACGGUACCGUAAGAAUAAGCACCGGCUAACUACGUGCCAGCCGCCGCAGUAAUAC
rnacentral:rRNA from 1 species